rnacentral:rRNA from 1 species
GCCUAGAGAUGAGCUCGCGUCUGAUUAGCUAGUUGGUGGGGUAAAAGCGUACCAAGGCGACGAUCAGUAGCUGGUCUGAGAGGAUGAUCAGCCACACUGGGACUGAGACACGGCCCAGACUCCUACGGGAGGCAGCAGUGGGGAAUUUUCCGCAAUGGGCGAAAGCCUGACGGAGCAACGCCGCGUGAGGGAGGAAGGCUCUUGGGUUGUAAACCUCUUUUCUCAAGGAAGAUAAUGACGGUACUUGAGGAAUCAGCAUCGGCUAACUCCGUGCCAGCAGCCGCGGUAAUACGGAGGAUGCAAGCGUUAUCCGGAAUAAUUGGGCGUAAAGCGUUCGUAGGUGGUUUUGUAAGUCUGCUGUUAAAGCGUGUAGCUCAACUACAUAUAGGCGGUGGAAACUACAAAACUAGAGUGCGUUCGGGGCAGAGGGAAUUCCUGGUGUAGCGGUGAAAUGCGUAGAUAUCAGGAAGAACACCGGUGGCGAAGGCGCUCUGCUAGGCCGCAACUGACACUGAGGGACGAAAG